CGCUGGCGGCGCGUCUUAAGCAUGCAAGUCGAACGGCAAGAUUGGUGCUUGCACCGAUCCUAGAGUGGCGGACUGGUGAGUAACGCGUGGGUGACGUACCCUAAGGAUGGGGAUAGCUGGUAGAAAUAUCAGAUAAUACCGAAUAUCCUUAUUGUUGUUAGAGGACAGUAAGGAAAGGAGCUUUGGCUUCGCCUAAGGAUCGGCCCGCGUACUAUUAGCUAGUUGGUGAGGUAACGGCUCACCAAGGCGACGAUCAGUAGCCGGCUUGGGAGAGUGAACGGCCACAUUGGAACUGAGACACGGUCCAAACUCCUACGGGAGGCAGCAGUGGGGAAUAUUGCACAAUGGGGGAAACCCUGAUGCAGCGACGCCGCGUGAAGGAUGAAGUAUUUCGGUAUGUAAACUUCUAUCAGCAGGGAAGAUAAUGACGGUACCUGACUAAGAAGCCCCGGCUAACUACGUG
rnacentral:rRNA from 1 species